UAUAUUGAUAUUAAAUUAGCUGUUUUCUAUCAGGUUAAGAAUAACUGUGAUCAUAUUAUAAUGAAGUAAUCGAAUUUGGUUAUCUGGUCUUCCUGAUGUUAGAACAUUUAUAUAAAAAAACAUAUUUAAAAAUGUAUUUCUGUAACGUUUAAUUUCCUUUUUUGAUGAAAGUGUGUCUGUGUUCAUCAAGACAUGAAGACUCUGGAGUGGGACAAGAGAAGGAUCAUGGGGUGUAUAUUCCAAUAGACACAUUAAGUGAAAGCUGAUAAAUACAGAGGGCUGGACAGUGGUUUCAUUCAUUAGCGCCUGAGUCCAGUGUUCGAGACUGGUAACACCUGCACAAGCCGAUCGGAGAAGAACGAUGGUGUCACAGAUUCAGGUCUUUUUGGACUCAGCAAAGUGACAUAGCCGCUGAGGAAAAUGAGGAUACCAUGGCUCGUUGGACUGCAUUCCUUGCACUUUCCCAAAUUUUUCUUACAUCAUUGUUUGCCGUUUUCUUGUUAAUCACACUGACUGUUUUGUGAUUUUCCUGACUAUUGAGUUAUCAGCAUGAGACUGUCAAAAAGUCUUUAAAAAGUGCUUUCAUAAAAC